GCGUGGGAACGUGCCCUUUGGUCUGGAAUAACUCAGGGAAACUUGAGCUAAUACCGGAUAAGCCCUUUACGGGGAAAGAUUUAUCGCCGAAGGAUCGGCCCGCGUCCGAUUAGCUAGUUGGUGUGGUAAUGGCGCACCAAGGCGACGAUCGGUAGCUGGUCUGAGAGGAUGAUCAGCCACGCUGGGACUGAGACACGGCCCAGACUCCUACGGGAGGCAGCAGUGGGGAAUAUUGGACAAUGGGCGCAAGCCUGAUCCAGCCAUGCCGCGUGAGUGAUGAAGGCCUUAGGGUUGUAAAGCUCUUUUGUGCGGGAAGAUAAUGACGGUACCGCAAGAAUAAGCCCCGGCUAACUACGUGCCAGCAGCCGCGGUG
rnacentral:rRNA from 1 species